rnacentral:rRNA from 1 species
AUACGGAGGGUGCAAGCGUUAUCCGGAUUUAUUGGGUUUAAAGGGUCCGUAGGCGGAUCUGUAAGUCAGUGGUGAAAUCUCAUAGCUUAACUAUGAAACUGCCAUUGAUACUGCAGGUCUUGAGUAAGGUAGAAGUAGCUGGAAUAAGUAGUGUAGCGGUGAAAUGCAUAGAUAUUACUUAGAACACCAAUUGCGAAGGCAGGUUACUAUGUCUUAACUGACGCUGAUGGACGAAAGCGUGGGGAGCGAACAGGAUUAGAAACCCGGGUAGUCC